UACGUAGGGGGCAAGCGUUGUCCGGAUUUAUUGGGCGUAAAGAGCGUGUAGGCGGCCAGGUAGGUCUGCUGUGAAAACUCGAGGCUCAACCUCGAGACGUCGGCGGAAACCAUCUGGCUAGAGUCCGGAAGAGGAGAGCGGAAUUCCUGGUGUAGCGGUGGAAUGCGCAGAUAUCAGGAAGAACACCCGUGGCGAAGGCGGCUCUCUGGGACGGUACUGACGCUGAGACGCGAAAGCGUGGGGAGCGAACAGG
rnacentral:rRNA from 1 species